rnacentral:tRNA from 1 species
UUCCUGGUGGCUUAGUCAGUAAAGAAUCUGCCUGCAGUGCAGGAAACCCUGGUUCGAUCUCUGGGUUAGGAAG